rnacentral:lncRNA from 1 species
CUCGUUACUACUACAUGUAUAUGACUUGGCAUCUGAGAGAAGAAGCAAUUUAUAUACCAUUUGAAGUCCCUUUUUGAACACAAAAAAGAUGUUUCCUAGUGUUAAAAAUGGUUGCUUAUAUUGGCAUUACAAAUUGUAAUAAACUUUAGGCACUGCCGCACUGGUCAUUCAUCUUUUGUGUUUGUGUGCAACAUGAGGGGGGAGUUCUUCCUCAUAAUUUCCAAAACAAAAAAUUAAACCCCUAUUAAUUGUUUUCAGAAACAUACAGGAACAGUAUUAUUUUACAAUAAUAAAUGAUGCCAUCUCAAGAUUAAUCAGAAGCAGCAGACAACACCUUAUGUUAUUUCACUUUUGGGAAAAAAUUACUUUCCUUCAGCAAAUUUUUUUUCUUUUAUUCCAUUUCCAAUUCUGAAAAAAAAUAAUUUUCCCUUCCCUUCUAAAACAAAAUAUAUUUUUUUUCUCACUUCUCUUCUUUGACAAUGUUUUUUCUUUUUUUAAAAUGAGAAAGAAAACAAUUUGUU